rnacentral:tRNA from 1 species
GCCUGAGUGGCUCAGCGGUUGAGCAUCUGCCUUUGGCUCAGGGCAUGAUCCCGGGGUCUUGGGAUCGAGUCCCACGUCGGGCU